UNCCAGUGACAGGCACCUUGCCUAUAUCGGA
rnacentral:piRNA from 1 species